AUGGAGUAUGAGCCGACGAUUUACUGCAGCCAGUGCGGGAGGAAGGCGCCGUGGUGGAUAUCAUGGAGUGCGGCGAAUCCUGGAAGGCGAUACUAUGCGUGCGUUGAAGCUCAGCAUGGGUUCAUUGAGUGGCACAACGGCCCAACAUCUCCAUUCCUGCGUGUAUUGUUGGGUGAUCUUCGAGAUAGGAUAUGGAAGCUAGAGGAUUAUGGAGCAGCAAUCUGUAAAGAUGGAGAUGCAGGUGUUGGUGCAUCCUGUGUGGAACUGUAG
rnacentral:rRNA from 1 species